UAGCUAAUACCGGAUAACAACAGAUGAUGCCUAUCAACUGUUUAAAAGAUGGUUCUGCUAUCACUCUUGGAUGGACCUGCGGUGCAUUAGCUAGUUGGUAGGGUAACGGCCUACCAAGGCGAUGAUGCAUAGCCGAGUUGAGAGACUGAUCGGCCACAUUGGGACUGAGACACGGCCCAAACUCCUACGGGAGGCAGCAGAC
rnacentral:rRNA from 1 species